rnacentral:rRNA from 1 species
CUACGGGUCGCAGCAGUGGGGAAUAUUGCACAAUGGAGGAAACUCUGAUGCAGCAACGCCGCGUGGAGGAUGACACUUUUCGGAGCGUAAACUCCUUUUAUAUAGGAAGAAGAUGACGGUACUAUAUGAAUAAGCGCCGGCUAACUCCGUGCCAGCAGCCGCGGUAAUACGGAGGGCGCAAGCGUUACUCGGAAUCACUGGGCGUAAAGAGCGUGUAGGCGGCUUAAAAAGUCAGAAGUGAAAUCCUAUAGCUUAACUAUAGAACUGCUUCUAAAACUCUUAAUCUAGAAUAUGGGAGAGGUAGAUGGAAUUUCUGGUGUAGGGAUAAAAUCCGUAGAGAUCAGAAGGAAUACCGAUUGCGAAGGCGAUCUACUAGAACAUUAUUGACGCUGAGACGCGAAAGCGUGGGGAGCAAACAGGAUUAGAUACCCGGGUAGUC